rnacentral:rRNA from 1 species
UACGUAGGUGGCGAGCGUUGUCCGGAUUUACUGGGCGUAAAGGGAGCGUAGGCAGACUUUUAAGUGAGAUGUGAAAUACCCGGGCUCAACUUGGGUGCUGCAUUUCAAACUGGAAGUCUAGAGUGCAGGAGAGGAGAAUGGAAUUCCUAGUGUAGCGGUGAAAUGCGUAGAGAUUAGGAAGAACACCAGUGGCGAAGGCGAUUCUCUGGACUGUAACUGACGCUGAGGCUCGAAAGCGUGGGGAGCAAACAGGAUUAGAUA